rnacentral:rRNA from 1 species
UCUAGCAUGAAGUCAGACAAGUGAACCCGCUGAAUUUAA